ACAGUGAAUUAUAUAUUUAUAUGUAUGGAAUUAUUUUCCUAUUCUAUAAACCUAAAGACAGAGAGGUUCAAGAUUCGGUCAAAUGAUAACACAUAGAAGCAAGAGCAGAGCAAAACGUUACUAAUGUAGAAAACACAUGCAGAGAGUUUUGCUUAAGAUACAACACACUGUAAAUGCAAUCUAGUAAAACGAGAGAUGAAGCAAAACAGAACAAUAUAACAAGGACCCCUGAAGCUCACAUGUUUUUGGUCUGAAUGGUAUUUAUUCUAUAAACAGUACAGUAUCAAGUAAGACAAUAGCCUUUGAGCCGCGCGAGUGGAUCUAACGCGCGGCGAACUUUUCUCUCAACUUUCAAGCUUCGUGUUCUCCGUGGGUGGCCUGGUCGGAGCUCGUCUCGUCUCCCCCACCCGGUACCUGAUCAUCAAGACGGAGGAGUAAGCGUCCGUCGUCGUCAAGGUGGUACCUUUCUCUCUCGUUGCGGUUCGGUUGGAUCUCUGGUGCGGUAGAUCCCCAGGUGAGCGCCGUCGCUCUGGUGGUUCGUCAGUGAAGUUGUCAGCUUCCUGUUAGAGGACUAGUCAGCUAUCGUGGUUUGGUGUUCGUACCGAUGGGUGGAGCGAAGUUCGAUGUCGGAGGUUCUGUUAUACGGGAUGGCGGUCCUCUUGACGGUUUCUCUCCGGCUCGGCCUUCGGUUUCGCCGCCGUGAGUCUGAGAAGGUACGUGGUGUCUCGGACCUAGGAGGAAGAGUGAAUUUCAGGCGGAUUACGGCGUUAGGGUUACGGAGCCGGACCUUAAUCCUUUGGUUCCGGCGUUUUGGGGCCGUAAGAACUUCAGAAAGGGCUCAUGCAGGACCUGGCCACAGCCUGCUUUCCCACACUGAUUUCCAUCACACUGUAACCAAAAUUAGUAUUUUUUUCAUAAUCCACAAGUAAAAUUUGGAAAACCAAGUCGUCACCCAUGCAUAGGACAACUCAAUCCAAAUCUUAAAACCCUAGACCCUAAAAUUUCUAUUGAAAGAACGGUACGUAGAAUCCGUCUUUCUUUUUCUGGCUCCAUCCAUAGAAGUCAACACUCUCGGUCUCUCCCAUAUCAAUUGUCCAGACGCUGAAAGAAGUAGAGGUAACCCAUGUCUUUAGGAGGAUUUGUCGAGAUACCUACUUUGCUGUCAUUGAAGAUCACCCAACGACCUUCUUUCAAUAUGUGUGUCACGUAGUGACCACAGUGAGUUGAUGUUCCCAUGUGACUUACUAUCCCAAACAACUUGUAUCCUGCAGAGUUUUGGAGCUUUUUACGGGAUGUCGGUUCUCUUGACGGUUUCUCUCCGGCUCGGCCUUCGGUUUCGCUUCCGUGAGUCUGAGAAGGUACGUGGUGUCUCGGACCUAGGAGGAAGAGUGAAUUUCAGGCGGAUUACGGCGUUAGGGUUACGGAGCCGGACCUUAAUCCUUUGGUUCCGGCGUUUUGGGGCCGCGGGGCGACUCUGCGGGUGGCGGUCUGAAGGUUAGACGACGGAACGAGCGUGGGUCUUGGACACACCGGUGCCGUGAAGUCUCAUUGACCGGAUUUCUUGCCAUCGGUGUCCACCGGAGUCUAGAGUUUACUCUAUUCAGCUUUCUUUCCCUCGAACUGUAGUCUCUUUUGUUUCAGUAUUUGCUUGUAAGCUAGCUUCUUUUCCUCUGUAACCUAUCCCACUGUUUCGCCGGCAACGGCAACGGUCUUACUGUUCUGAUCCCCUUUUUGGAUGAUUUAAUGAUUUAAUGAAAUAAUUACAAAUUACAUUUUAUUUGAUUUUUGUUUUCAUUUACACAUACUUUGUUAUAAGAAUGUGAGAUGUAUAUGGAAU
rnacentral:lncRNA from 1 species